rnacentral:rRNA from 1 species
UACAGAGGGUGCGAGCGUUAAUCGGAAUUACUGGGCGUAAAGGGCGCGUAGGCGGCCAGCACAAGUCAGUUGUGAAAUCUCCGGGCUUAACUCGGAAAGGUCAACUGAUACUGUGCGGCUAGAGUGCAGAAGGGGCAACUGGAAUUCUCGGUGUAGCGGUGAAAUGCGUAGAUAUCGAGAGGAACACCGGCGGCGAAGGCGGCCCACUGGACAGAUACUGACGCUGAGACUCGAAAGCGUGGGGAGCAAACAGG